UACGGAGGGAGCUAGCGAUGUUCGGAAUUACUGGGCGUAAAGCGCACGUAGGCGGCUAUUCAAGUCAGAGGUGAAAGCCCGGGGCUCAACCCCGGAACUGCCUUUGAAACUAGAUAGCUUGAAUCUUGGAGAGGCGAGUGGAAUUCCGAGUGUAGAGGUGAAAUUCGUAGAUAUUCGGAAGAACACCAGUGGCGAAGGCGACUCGCUGGACAAGUAUUGACGCUGAGGUGCGAAAGCGUGGGGAGCAAACAGG
rnacentral:rRNA from 1 species